rnacentral:lncRNA from 1 species
AUGUUAGAGCCUGAAGUCAAGGAAAAGGCUAAACCAGCCCCUGAGAAGAAAGAGGCUGAAGUCAUCAAGGAGAAAGUUAAACCAGCUCCUGUAAAGAAAGGGCCUGAAGUUGCUAAAGAAAAGGUACCUGAACCGGCACCAAGAAUAGCACCUGAGAUAACCAAAGAAAAGCCAAAGCCAGCACCAAAGAAAGAGGCCGAAGUCAUCAAAGAGAAAGCUAAACCAUCUCCUGAGAAGAAAGAAGCUGAAGUCAUCAAAAAGAAAGUUAAACCAACUCCUGUAAAGAAAGAGCCCGAAGUUGCUAAAGAAAAGGCAUCUGAAAUGGCACCAAAAAUAGCACCUGAGAUAGUCAAAGAAAAGCCAAAGCCAGCACCAAAGAAAGAGGCUGAAGUCAUCAAAGAGAAACCUAAACCAGCUCCUGAGAAGAAAGAGGGUGAAGUCAUCAAGGAGAAAGUUAAGCCAGCUCCUGUAAAGAAAGAGCCUGAAGUUCAUAAAGAAAAGGCACCUGAACCAGUGUCAGAACCUACAAAGAAAGAAGCUGUAGCCAUCAAAGAAGAAGCUAAAGCAGCCCCCGUGAAGGAAGGUAUGAGUUUAUUUGAUUCUAUUUUUAGUGUGAUAUCCUGUGAAGCAAAUCAGGUUUCAGCCUCUUAAAAUAAUCAGGUUAUUUUAGUUGAGUCAUCAAUUUUUAGCCAAGCCAUAGGGCUUUUUUCAAUGUUUUCUUAUUACUUUUAUUAUUUUAGAGGCUGAAAUUGUCAAAGAGAAAGCUAAAGCAACCUCUGUGAAGAAAGGUUUGAUUUACAUACUACGCUCACAAUCACAUUACCACUGUUC